GAUGUUAUUUAUAUAUGUUUUUCUAUUUAGCAGCUCUAUCCUACUGGUUGUAGUAUUGUAUUUUUACAGGUACAGCUAUCGCUUCGUAUACAGAAAAAAUUUAUUUGUAUAUAGCGGAUUUGUCGGCGUGCCCGAAAAAAUGAGUAAUCUGGGGCGUGACAGAUUAAGUUGGUAUCAGAGCUUAGCAUUAGGUCGUUGGGA
rnacentral:lncRNA from 1 species